UACGUAGGGAGCAAGCGUUGUUCGGAUUUACUGGGCGUAAAGGGCGCGUAGGCGGCGCGGUAAGUCACUUGUGAAAUCUCUGAGCUUAACUCAGAACGGCCAAGUGAUACUGCAGUGCUAGAGUGCAGAAAGGGCAAUCGGAAUUCUUGGUGUAGCGGUGAAAUGCGUAGAUAUCAAGAGGAACACCUGAGGCGAAGGCGGGUUGCUAGGCUGACACUGACGCUGAGUGCGCGAAAGCCAGGGGAGCAAACGGGAUUAGAUACCCCGGUAGUCCUGGCCCUAAACGAUGAAUACUUGGUGUCUGGAGUUCUAAUACUCCGGGUGCCGUCGCUAACGUUUUUAGUAUUCCGCCUGGGGAGUACGCUCGCAAGAGUGAA
rnacentral:rRNA from 1 species